rnacentral:misc_RNA from 1 species
GGACUUUAUCGAAUGCUUUAUUGCAUGCAUUAAUCACAUCGGUAAACCCUGUUGCGAUGGUAGCCAGUUGGUAUCGCAACCUCAAGUCCUUGGUCCUUCUCAACAAACAUCUGAAUGAUCUCCCAAGAUAUUUCGCCCAAUCAGCUGGGAGCCCUCCCCCGGUCAACCACAUGGAAAAUUGUGACUGAUCCCCCCUUGCAGCCACUUCAGCCCUGUAAAAUCUAGCAAGUUCAAGAAGCAUUGAGGGUUGAAGGGGGAGCACACAAACAAACUCAGCCAUAAACCGUUCGAUGAGCUCUGGUCUUAGCAUUUGAUUCCAAAGUACUAGAGCCCAUUCACCUGGCUGGUUAAGACCAUAAGCUUCAGCAACAAUUAGUGCUUCUUGGAAACGGGUUUGUUCGACCAAGGCCCUCCGUGCAUUAGUUUCAGAUAGAUUGAUAAAGUGCAAGUCUGGCAUCCGAAUCUGAAGAUAGAGAAGUAAUGCCUGAGCACAACUUUGGCGUGUUUUGCUCCCAGCAUCAAUGGAGGAGUAAACUUCAGCAGCUUCAAUGAAGUACCCCAUGGAAGCCAAGAGCUCAU